AGCCGCGGCCGACACCGGUCGCCUUACUUGGCGGACGUAGGGCCUGUGGGUGGGAGCGGAGCCUGAGCUAGAUUGCCCCUCCCAUCGAGUGAGUCAAGUUGGCGCCUGCUUCCUGCCCCCUGAUUGCGCUGGCGACUUAAACAACCCGCUCUGUAAGAUAGUCUGCCUAGCAACAACUGAUGUUAGCCAAUCAGCCCGCAUCGCGCGCUUUGAACUGAUUGGCCACUGUCACCCUAUAAAAGUGAAUGCCUCUCCUGCCACGAGACAGGAAGCACAGAGAAAGCACAGAGAGAGAUAGAAAAAGUCCACCGGCGAGAAAGGGCUGGUGGCAGAGUGGAGGCCUUGCGGGGCCCACGCGGAGAUAAAUAAAGGCAAGGUUGCACACCGCCAGACUUUGUCGUGUGUCUUUCCUGCCGGCCGGGAGCGACCCCGACAUUUGGUGACCCGCACGGGGACUGAUCAACCCCGAGACACGGCGGUGGUGUGCAACGCUCCAGCGUGGUGCUGCCGGACAGGGAAUAAAACAAGAUACAAUGGAAUAAACUGAAACAGAACAAAGUUUCUGGUUCACAUUCUCAGCUCAGCCCUCCUCCUCUAACCAGCACUUUCCCUGCGGACAGGGGGCUGUGAGACGCAGAGACAGUCCCGGGGAAGGGGCCCACCUUGGCUGGAACUCUCGCCUCACCUGGGACACAGAUAUCACCACGCUUCUCACAUGAGAUCACCGCUCUCUGACCCUGGAUCCAAGUGCAUGCUAAAAAACCCCUCCAAGUGAAGCCAGACGGGGCUGCUCUGGAGACAGGGAACAUGUGUUCCACUUCUGCAAAGAAAAGAGCGACUCGGGACCUGGUGGUUUGAUUACCCUUGGCUCCCGCCUCCUCCGCCUCCCACCAUUUGUGGAACAGGGAAAUGAGCUCCCAGUCCAAUGAUAAAACUGAUAUGAUUCAUGCCUGUGUCAGGACGAAAGAAACAGGAAACGGAGGCCGGUGGCGCGGCUGUGAUGUCACCUCUUUGGCAUGCUGUCCUGGCCCUGGAAAAAUGCAGAAGACAGAAGUUAUUUGGUCCCUUGGCCGCGUCCCCAGUACAAUGGACUUGAUCUUGGAAGUCCUGCCUGUGAGAGCAGGGUAGGGUGAGAUGCUGGUAUGUGCAUGCUGGCCAAGGACGCGGGAAGAAAUGGGGGGAGAAACAGAGCCUUCAGUGAAACGCGUCUCUGCCAGACAAACACACAGUGUGCUCUCACUGUGCCUGGCUUUUUAAUACAGGUUUUGGAAAAGA